GUGAAUCAUCAAAUCUUUGAACGCAAAUUGCACUCUCCGGUUUUCCGGGAGAGUAUGCCUGUUUGAGGGUCAGCCUAAAAAAAAUCGACAUUGUUGCUGUUUUAUGGUGACUUUCGUCGGAGAUGGGUUAUCUUAAAUCUCGGUUUAAGCGACUUAAAAAUUUUUUUAAGAUUUUUAAGAUGUUUCUUAGGAUUUUCUUGUACGUUUAAGGUUUCGGAUGCCUUAUUUGAC
rnacentral:misc_RNA from 1 species